rnacentral:tRNA from 1 species
GACCUUGUAGUUCAGUUGGUAGAACGGUGGACUGUUAAUCCAUAUGUCGCAGGUUCGAGUCCUGCCAGGGUCG